rnacentral:rRNA from 1 species
UACGGGAGGCAGCAGUGGGGAAUAUUGCACAAUGGGCGCAAGCCUGAUGCAGCCAUGCCGCGUGUAUGAAAAAGGCCUUCGGGUUGUAAAGUACUUUCAGUCGUGAGGAAGGUGUUAAGGUUAAUAACCUUAGCAAUUGACGUUAGCGACAGAAGAAGCACCGGCUAACUCCGUGCCAGCAGCCGCGGUAAUACGGAGGGUGCGAGCGUUAAUCGGAAUUACUGGGCGUAAAGGGCACGCAGGCGGUUAAUUAAGUUGGAUGUGAAAUCCCCGGGCUUAACCUGGGAAUGGCAUUCAAGACUGGUUAGCUAGAGUCUUGUAGAGGGGGGUUAGAAUUCCAUGUGUAGCGGUGAAAUGCGUAGAGAUGUGGAGGAAUACCGGUGGCGAAGGCGGCCCCUGGACAAAGGACUGACGCUCAUGUGCGAAAGCGUGGGGAGCAAAC